GAGGUGUCCGAGUGGCUGAAGGAGCACGCCUGGAAAGUGUGUAUACGUUAAUAGCGUAUCGAGGGUUCGAAUCCCUCUCUCUCCGCCA
rnacentral:tRNA from 1 species